UACAGUUGAUCGUGGGCCUCGUGCGCCAACGGACGCAAAGUUCCAGGAAAUUGGAAACAGAAACAGAAACACAAAGAAAUCAGUAAAUAAAGCAGAGAAAAACCUGAACCCUUGGGGAAAUCAAAAGUCAAGAGGAGCGGACAAGUGCCAACGCUCGAAACUCGGUCAAGUGUUAAGAGAAAUUCCCAAUACGUUCUAAUGAAUUGCGCCUCGUGACGGGAGUGUGUGUGUGCCGAGCGAUACUUUUAACACCUGCCACCGGGCUUUACGCGUGUUUCACACAUUUCCAGCGCCGACGGAUCGUUCCACCAGCCCGAUAUCACCGAAAAACACAGGCACUUAACGCGCGUUAAGGGCCCGGCGUCCAGAACCUUACACGUGUCCCCAGCGCUGACUCACUGACUCGCUGUAUGCCCAAAAAUUAAAAGGCAAUUAAGCUAAAUUUGCACUAUUGAUUAACAUUGAAAUUAGGCAAUGCCCAACGUGUUAAUGAAAGCCGCGUCCAAAAAAGAACACAAAGAACUCUGUGAGCGUUGACGGAAGCCAAACUUCAUGUCAUGAUUUAAUGAUCGCAAGGGCCAGCGGAGAACCAAGUCGCCAAGUUCAUUUACAAAAUGCAAUUGAAUUCCCAACAGCUAUCUAAAUUGAUCAAGUGGUCAGCUGGGGGAAGUGGAACCCGAAGUGCAAGCUCAUGGCUCAUAAUCAAGGGCAAUGAAAGCUAUUUUCUGCUGGCCCAACUUGAUUGCCCUGCCCGCGCCGACAGGUGAAGCCAAAAGGAGGCGAUCUCCGGACUGGUGACUCGUGCCGCCGAAACAAUGCCGCUGGGAGAGGUCUCCCAGUUUCAGGUUCCCAGUUUCUAGAGCUAGCGCAACUAACUCAGCGCCUCUUGCCCACAGAUCGAUGGGUGGAUGGAUAGAUGGACGGAUGGAUCGGCAACGGCUUGAGUCAUCAAACUGGCUAAGUGCCCCGGCUGGGCUGUCAGCUGGGCUAUUCUUUUGGCCAGCUCGAUCAGAUUUAUGGCCUGUUAAAACGUCCGCCGCCAAGUGCCAGGCAAUUGGUUAAAAGCUACAAGCGCCCGAGAUGCAACACACUCGAUAACAAAGGCCGCAACAAACAGGCAAAGGGGCAAACAAAACCGCAAGAGGAACGCGCCACAUGUCCAAAAAAGGAUCCGCAAGGAGCCGAUUCGGAGUUCAUAAAUAAAAGAUGGCAAAGCCUCGAAAAGGGCUUAAACAAUGGACCGCAAGGCCUUUCGCAUCGAAAUCCCAGAGAGGAAGCCAGGCCACAGACGGCAUGCGCAGAUCGAAACUUAAAUAUGCAGGCGUGACUUAUUUAGGACAAAUUGUUUGAUUUUCGUUUCGUAAUAAAAAGAAUAUUGAGAGGGUUUAAAUGGAAGAAGGUUAACAGGUUCAUUUGGGAAGGGAACCCUGCAGAAAGGGGAAUAUCAAGUUUGGAGAAGGAACUUCAAGAAAUAAUGGAAGAAAGAUAAUAAAAGUCUUUAGUUCAAUAAAUCUUUUCUGGAUUUAGCUUAAUCUAAAUAAUAAUAUAAUAAUAAAAAUCUAAAUUAUAAUAAUUUAUAGAGUAUUAAGACUGUAUUUUUAAAGAGGGAAUAUAUUUGGUUGGACAAUCAAUGAUUAUAUUGGAUGAUAUUCAAGAACUAUUCUGUUACGGAUACAGUAAUAAAAACAUUUUAGUGUUUUUUCUAUUUAAUAUAGUAUAUUCUAAGACUUACAAUGUU